rnacentral:rRNA from 1 species
AACGAACGCUGGCGGCGUGCUUAACACAUGCAAGUCGAGCGAGUGGAUUCCCUUCGGGGAUGAAGCUAGCGGCGGACGGGUGAGUAACACGUGGGCAACCUGCCUUAUAGAGGGGGAUAGCCUUCCGAAAGGAAGAUUAAUACCGCAUAACAUCAGAUUAUCGCAUGGUAGACUGAUCAAAGGAGCAAUCCGCUAUAAGAUGGGCCCGCGUCGCAUUAGCUAGUUGGUGAGGUAACGGCUCACCAAGGCGACGAUGCGUAGCCGACCUGAGAGGGUGGUCGGCCACAUUGGGACGGAGACACGGCCCAGACUGCUACGGGAGGCAGCAGUGGGGAAUAUUGCACAAUGGGGGAAACCCUGAUGCAGCAACGCCGCGUGAGUGAUGAAGGCCUUCGGGUUGUAAAGCUCUUUGAUCAGGGACGAUAAUGACGGUACCUGAAGAACAAGCCACGGCUAACUACGUGCCAGCCGCCGCUGUAACAC